UAUUGCACAAUGGGGGAAACCCUGAUGCAGCGACGCCGCGUGAAGGAAGAAUUAUCUCGGUAUGUAAAAUUCUAUCAGCAGGGAAGAAAAUGACGGUACCUGACUAAGAAGCCCCGGCUUACUACGUGCCGGCCGACGCGGUAAUACGUAGGGGGCAAGCGUUAUCCGGAUUUACUGGGUGUAAAGGGAGUGUAUACGGAAGAGCAAGUCUGAUGUGAAAGGCUGGGGCUUAACCCCAGGACUGCAUUGGAAACUGUUGUUCUAGAGUGCCGGAGAGGUAAGCGGAAUUCCUAGUGUAGCGGUGAAAUGCGUAGAUAUUAGGAGGAACACCAGUGGCGAAGGCGGCUUACUGGACGGUAACUGACGUUGAGGCUCGAAAGCGUGGGGAGCAAACAG
rnacentral:rRNA from 1 species